rnacentral:lncRNA from 1 species
UUUGUCAGCCUGUUGUCACCAGCAGCUCAGGGGUUUGGCUGCAUUCCCAACUGCUAUUAGAGGAUCAAAUAACAGCAAGUGUCCAAAACAACCUUCUCCCACCUUCCCUGGAAUAUGAGGCUCUGACAGCACAUGUACCUGGCUGCUGUGCUUUUGUCACCUGAGGGUUGAUUUGUCACAGUACCAUUUGUAUUCAUUCAGGAACAGCCUAGUCCAGAAAGAAUAACUGAAGUUUAGCAGGCAGAUUUUGGUAUUAAAGCGAGGCUUUAAAGGGCUGUUAAUAUUUUCUGUGUAUGUAUGAGGUAAAAGUGAAUACCUGUACAUUUGUGUGAACUGCUCUGAGUAACCAGAGGGAAUUUCAUCUUUGAAAUGGACUGAGAGGGUGUUCAUGCCCAUCUGAAUUGUCCCAAGCAGAAGGAUUCAAGCUCUGCAUUAUUUCUCUCACAGUGCAGUGACAAUGUGUGGAGAUUUUCCACGACCAUAAGACAGCAAGCCAUAAAGAGGUGAGAGCACAAGUAAAGGAAACCUCCUGACCUGUCCAUCAACAACAACACUUGGCUCACAGAACACUGCACAGUGUCUCUUGUCUUUUCCUUUUUCAGAGGCAAUUCCAGAACUCAGCACUCCAGACUGUCAGCCUGGUCAUUCACUGCCUGAAUGUAUCCAUGUCUCUCUUGUCUUGGGACUGCUUUUUCCACCCCUGAUGUUUAUCUUCCCAAAGUGUUUGUAGCAGGAUGUAUCAGAUGUAUCUUUGAGGAACUCUUGAGAUGUGCUUCAAAAAUGGUUUGCAGAAUCUAGGUGAACUUCAGAACUUCAUCAAAAGUGGUCAGAUUUACUACCCCAGGGUACUUUGCAAAAAUACUUUGUGAUCUAAUCAAUAAAUAAUAUUUGUAAAACA